CGCACAGCGAAAGGUGCUUGCACCUUUCAAGUGAGUGGCGAACGGGUGAGUAACACGUGGACAACCUGCCUCAAGGCUGGGGAUAACAUUUGGAAACAGAUGCUAAUACCGAAUAAAACUUAGUGUCGCAUGACACAAAGUUAAAAGGCGCUUCGGCGUCACCUAGAGAUGGAUCCGCGGUGCAUUAGUUAGUUGGUGGGGUAAAGGCCUACCAAGACAAUGAUGCAUAGCCGAGUUGAGAGACUGAUCGGCCACAUUGGGACUGAGACACGGCCCAAACUCCUACGGGAGGCUGCAGUAGGGAAUCUUCCACAAUGGGCGAAAGCCUGAUGGAGCAACGCCGCGUGUGUGAUGAAGGCUUUCGGGUCGUAAAGCACUGUUGUAUGGGAAGAACAGCUAGAAUAGGAAAUGAUUUUAGUUUGACGGUACCAUACCAGAAAGGGACGGCUAAAUACGUGCCAGCAGCCGCGGUAAUACGUAUGUCCCGAGCGUUAUCCGGAUUUAUUGGGCGUAAAGCGAGCGCAGACGGUUUAUUAAGUCUGAUGUGAAAGCCCGGAGCUCAACUCCGGAAUGGCAUUGGAAACUGGUUAACUUGAGUGCAGUAGAGGUAAGUGGAACUCCAUGUGUAGCGGUGGAAUGCGUAGAUAUAUGGAAGAACACCAGUGGCGAAGGCGGCUUACUGGACUGCAACUGACGUUGAGGCUCGAAAGUGUGGGUAGCAAACAGGAUUAGAUACCCUGGUAGUCCACACCGUAAACGAUGAACACUACGUGUUAGGAGGUUUCCGCCUCUUAGUGCCGAAGCUAACGCAUUAAGUGUUCCGCCUGGGGAGUACGACCGCAAGGUUGAAACUCAAAGGAAUUGACGGGGACCCGCACAAGCGGUGGA
rnacentral:rRNA from 1 species